rnacentral:rRNA from 1 species
UACGAAGGGGGCUAGCGUUGUUCGGAAUUACUGGGCGUAAAGCGCGUGUAGGCGGGUCUUUAAGUCAGGGGUGAAAUGCCAAGGCUCAACCUUGGAACUGCCUUUGAUACUGGAGACCUUGAGUCCGGGAGAGGUGAGUGGAAUUGCGAGUGUAGAGGUGAAAUUCGUAGAUAUUCGCAAGAACACCAGUGGCGAAGGCGGCUCACUGGCCGGAACUGACGCUGAGAUGCGAAAGCGUGGGGAGCAAACAGG